rnacentral:rRNA from 1 species
GUGCCAGCCGCCGCGGUAAUACCGGCAGCCCGAGUGAUGGCCGACCUUAUUGGGCCUAAAGCGUCCGUAGCUGGCCGCGCAAGUCCAUCGGAAAAUCCACCCGCCCAACGGGUGGGCGUCCGGUGGAAACUGUGUGGCUUGGGACCGGAAGGCGCGACGGGUACGUUCGGGGUAGGAGUGAAAUCCUGUAAUCCCGUCCGGACCACCGAUGGCGAAAGCACUUCGAGAAAACGGAUCCGACAGUGAGGGACGAAAGCUAAGAUCGCGAACCGGAUUAGAAACCCGGGUAGUCC